rnacentral:rRNA from 1 species
AUAUUGGAAGCUUGCUUCCGAUAGGCGUCGACCGGCGCACGGGGUGAGUAACGCGUAUCCAACCUGCCCAUCACUUGGGGGAUAACCUUGCGAAAGUAAGACUAAUACCCAAUGAUAUCUCUAGAAGACGAUCUGAAAGAGAUUAAAGAUUUAUCGGUGAUGGAUGGGGAUGCGUCUGAUUAGCUUGUUGGCGGGGUAACGGCCCACCAAGGCAACGAUCAGUAGGGGUUCUGAGAGGAAGGUCCCCACAUUGGAACUGGAGACACGGUCCAAACUCC